UACGGGGGAGCAAGCGUUGUUCGGAUUUACUGGGCGUAAAGGGCGCGUAGGCGGCGCAACAAGUCACUUGUGAAAUCUCCGGGCUUAACCCGGAGCGGCCAAGUGAUACUGUCGUGCUAGAGUGCGGAAGGGGCUACUGGAAUUCUCGGUGUAGCGGUGAAAUGCGUAGAUAUCGAGAGGAACACCUGCGGCGAAGGCGGGUAGCUGGGCCGACACUGACGCUGAGGCGCGAAAGCCAGGGGAGCGAACGGGA
rnacentral:rRNA from 1 species